rnacentral:rRNA from 1 species
GUGAAGCGGCAACAGCUCAAAUUUGAAAUCUGGCCUUUGGUCCGAGUUGUAAUUUGUAGAGGAUGCUUUUGGUGCGGUUCUUUCCGAGUUCCCUGGAACGGGACGCCUUAGAGGGUGAGAGCCCCGUACGGUUGGAUACCUAGCCUCUGUAAAGCUCCUUCGACGAGUCGAGUAGUUUGGGAAUGCUGCUCUAAAUGGGAGGUAAAUUUCUUCUAAAGCUAAAUACCGGCCAGAGACCGAUAGCGCACAAGUAGAGUGAUCGAAAGAUGAAAAGCACUUUGAAAAGAGGGUUAAAUAGCACGUGAAAUUGUUGAAAGGGAAGCGUUUAUGACCAGACUUUUUCUAGGCGGAUCAUCCGGUGUUCUCACCGGUGCACUUCGCCUAGUUUAGGCCAGCAUCGGUUUCCGUAGGGGGAUAAAAGCUUUGGGAAUGUGACUCCUCCGGGAGUGUUAUAGCCCUUUGUAUAAUACCCUUAUGGGGACCGAGGUUCGCGCUCUGCAAGGAUGCUGGCGUAAUGGUCAUCAACGACCCGUCUUGAAACACGGACCAAGGAGUCGAACAUUUGUGCAAGUGUUUGGGUGUUAAACCCUCACGCGUAAUGAAAGUGAACGGAGGUGAGAGCCUUAGGGUGCAUCAUCGACCGAUCCUGAAGUUUUCGGAUGGAUUUGAGUAAGAGCAUAACUGUUCGGACCCGAAAGAUGGUGAACUAUGCGUGGAUAGGGUGAAGCCAGAGGAAACUCUGGUGGAGGCUCGCAGCGGUUCUGACGUGCAAAUCGAUCGUCAAAUCUGCGCAUGGGGGCGAAAGACUAAUCGAACCA